UGGAACCUGUGAUGUAACCAACCAAUUUGCUGAACAUCAUUGAUUAUUCUAAAAAAUAGCACCAUCUUUCGGUUGAGGUUGCU